GCUUGCAUGCCAGGGAUUCAAGUCGGGCUGCCUGGCUUAGCAGCCAGAGCCUUUACUGCUAAGCCGUUCCAUUUCCUCAACUGCAAUGUACUGAUCUGUGUUUCUAGUUUAGCCACUGAGCAGUACCACAAAAUGGCUGUGACCUUGAACGGACAAAGAACUCAGGAAGUGACAGUUCUGGGUGAUGAUAAGACAGGACAACCUGGUCUUGGACUAAAAAUGCAGUUUUGAUCAAGAAGAAGGAAGACUAAAGUGUGGAUACUUCAGUCCUUCUUAGAAUGGGGAACAAAAUACCCAUGGAAGGAGUUACAGAGACAAAGUUCGGAGCUAAGGCGGAAGGAAGGACAAUCCAGAGACUGCCCCACCUGGGGAUCCAUCCCAUAUACAACCACCAAGCCCAGACACUAUUGCAUAUGCCAGAAAGACUUUGCUGACAGGACCCUGAUAUAGCUCUCUCUUGUGAGGCUAUGCCAGUGCCUGGCAAAUACAGAAGUGGAUGAUCAUAGUCAUCUCUUGGAUGGAACACAGGGCCCCCAACGGAGGAGCUAGAGAAAGUACCCAAGGAGCUGAAGGGUUCUGCAACCCUAUAGGUGGAACAACAAUAUGAACUAACCAGUACACCCAGAGCUUGUGUCUCUAGCUGCACGUGUAGCAGAAGAUGGCCUAGUUGGCCAUCAAUGGGAAGAGAGGUCCCUUGGUCUUCCAAAUUUUAUAUGCCCCAGUACAGGGGAAUGCCAGGGCCAAGAAGUGGAAGUGGGUAGGUAGGGGAGCAGGGUGCGGGGAGGGUAUAGGGGACUUUUGGGAUAGCAUUUGAAAUGUAAAUGAAGAAAAUAACUAAUAAAAAAUUGGAAAAAAUGCAGUUUUGGAGGACCGAAGAGAUGACUCAGUGGUUAAGAGGACUUGCUGCUCUUUCAGAGGUCCUGAGUUCAAUUCCCAACAACCAUAUGGUCGUGCACAAACCAUUUAUACUAGGGUCUGAUGCUCUCUUUUGGCAUGCAGUUAUAUAUGCAGAUAGAGCACACAUAUACAUAAAAUAAAAGUAAAUGAAUGAAUGAAAAAAUUCUGGCAGAAAACAAAUGCAGCUGUCUUGCUUUAGCCU
rnacentral:lncRNA from 1 species